CCUUUGGAAUUUCUUUAAUGAUAAAUAAUAUAUGAUCUAAAAAGGUACUAGUAUUUUUUAUCUGUAGGAUAUUUGCUGGAUACAACAGAUCUCUCAGUCGUUGUUCCUUUUUGUGAGAAUCUGUUGUAUUUGAUGUGCGAGAAGCCAAUAUUAUAAAGUUGAUUUUGGUUAUUAACUUACUCACAUGUAUUUCCUAAUUUCUUAAACUUUAAGUACCUCGUUUGUUUUUCUUUCGUAUAAACUAAUAAUUUAUGCAUUGUUAUGGCCAAAUCUAUUCCUUUUUUACUUUGAUCAUAUAUGAUACAUUUAAUGAUGAAUUUUGCUAUUACAGUAGUCUGCUUUUGUCUUUUCAUUGGGUGAAUGUGCUUCAAUAUAUAAUAAUACAUGAUAAGGAUCCAAAACGUUUUUCUAGAAUCUCCACCCCAAUAUAAAUUAUAUAUGUUGAAACACAAAAGCCAAAUUUAGUUUAUGUAAUUGCUGAAGAAGAGCAUUGUUAUCAAUAAUUUUUUUUAUUAAGAAUAUGAAGGCAAAUAUAAGCAUAUGAUGCUUAAUUAUAAUGUAUUAAAGUUACUGCUGUGUUUUCUUGAUUGCAGCGACUAUUGUGUCUUUGAUUUAUCAUAUUUUUGACUCAUUGCAGCGAAUGUUGGGUCUUUGAUUUUUGUCUUGUGUUCAUGACUAUUUCUAGUUUAUCUAAAAAAAAAAUUAGAUAUAUGUCUAGCCCUUCUUUUAUUGUCCAUAAGAAGUAAUACUUGCAAUAUGAAUUCUAUUCUAAUAUGAUAUGAUUAAAGAAAUAUAUAAAUCAAUAUGGGUUAGCAAGUAAUAAAUGAAUGUGGCAGUUAAGAAAUAUUUACAUAUUACUAAUCAUAAUGAGAUUGAUUUUCUCUAGUCUUGAUCUAACAAUGAUUCCUUGAUUUAAUUUCUGCAUCCAAUACAAUUUUGACCUUGAGUUGUGCUUCAAUAUAAUGGACUGAUAUCCAUCCAAGCAAGUGAAAAGGCAUGGCUGCAAAGAGCCUACUGUUCUUGCUCAUGAAACACCAUGUACUUUGGUGUUUCAAAAGCAGAUAGACCAUUUUUUCAGCAACAAUGAGAGAAGUUGAUGAGCUAGGCUAAAAUACUAUAGAGGCAACAUGAAUAAGAGAAUGAUAAAGACUUGUUGCACUUUGUAAUGUAUUAUUUACAUUUUAAAUUUACAAAUUUAUAAUGGUGUAAUUUUGUAUUUGAUUUUUUUUUAUAUGAUGAUUGAUGUAAUAUAUAAUAAAAGUUUGUUUAUUUUUAUUUAAAUUUUA